UACGAAGGGGGCUAGCGUUGCUCGGAAUUACUGGGCGUAAAGCGCACGUAGGCGGUUUCUUAAGUCGGGGGUGAAAUCCUGGAGCUCAACUCCAGAACUGCCUUCGAUACUGGGAAACUUGAGUUCGGGAGAGGUGAGUGGAACUGCGAGUGUAGAGGUGAAAUUCGUAGAUAUCGGGAGGAACACCGGUGGCGAAGGCGGCGACCUGGGACGAUACUGACGCUGAGGUGCGAAAGCGUGGGGAGCAAACAGG
rnacentral:rRNA from 1 species